CUCUAAUGCAGCCACUUCUAAAAAUAUAUCUGAACCUAUCUAGGCAUAUCUUGCUUAUUUGUGCACCUUGUCCUUUUGAACUACUGGAAGGAGUUCACUCUCUGAAGGAAGAAUUGGCUGUUCUUAAAAGUACAGCUGGGAAGCAAGACAUCCAGUGAGCUUAUGGCAAGCUGUGGAAUGCUAUGUUUCAUGAAUUUCUCUUUUAAUUUAUUUUGUUGUUGUUCCAUGAUUUUAAGUACGAUGGUGAUGGGAAAGUGCUACAUUUCACAAAUUUCUGCUUUACUGUUUUGCAUUUUGAGGCUUUAAAUACAGUGUUGACCAGGGAAGGGAAGUUGCACCGAGAAAGAUUUUGCUCUUCAAACUGUACGUGCCAAGGUUCGCCCCCAAGGUACGGUCUGGCUCAGCACACUAGCUCCUGUCAAGAAGUCAAACAUUGCUCUGGAAAACAAAGUUGUCUUCAUGCGGACGAAGAUGCUAUUUAAUGCGAUGCUGUUUAACUGGGCACUGUGCAUGGAAACUGGAGCUCUGCUGUUAGCUCCAUUUCACAGGCAAGGAAUCUGUAUCUAAAUGAUACCUCAAAACUGUGGCAAAGCUGGGAAUAGAAUCCAAGUUUAAUUCCAUAGAUACUCAGCUUUCUGGGCUUUGAACAGAGCUGUCAUACUACAAGGAAGUACUUCAGCAUCCUUUUCAUUUGAAGAUGUUUCCAAACAUUUUUCCUUAUCUUUUGCCUCUCAAAAGUGUUGUUUCACAUUCAUGUUCCAUUUGCAUCAAGUUUCUUUCCUUUUCUCAGCUGCAGUCAUUAACAGCUGGUGAGUAAAUUAAUUAUGGGUAAAAAGUAUAGUUAAGUGAACAUUUCUGUUCUUUUGACUGGGGGAAAAUGCUCCAAGAAAAAUGCACUGAUGUUUUCAAACCAUAGUGGGGUUGUGUUUGGGGUGCUUUUUUCCUGUAUACCGAGCUGGCUGAUGAGCCUCAGCACUCUUGAUUUAGACCAAGGGUUAGACUCCUCAAAAGGCAGACUGAGACCCUUCUUAAUUUCUCCAUUACUUAGGAAGUACC
rnacentral:lncRNA from 1 species